rnacentral:rRNA from 1 species
AACGAACGCUGGCGGCAGGCCUAACACAUGCAAGUCGAGCGCCCAGCAAUGGGAGCGGCAGACGGGUGAGUAACGCGUGGGAACCUUCCUGAUAGUACGGAAUAGCCCAGGGAAACUUGGAGUAAUACCGUAUACGCCCGUAAGGGGAAAGAUUUAUCGCUGUCAGAUGGGCCCGCGUAGGAUUAGCUAGUUGGUGAGGUAAUGGCUCACCAAGGCGACGAUCCUUAGCUGGUUUGAGAGAAUGACCAGCCACACUGGGACUGAGACACGGCCCAGACUCCUACGGGAGGCAGCAGUGGGGAAUCUUGGACAAUGGGCGCAAGCCUGAUCCAGCCAUGCCGCGUGAGUGACGAAGGUCUUCGGAUUGUAAAGCUCUUUUGCCAGGGACGAUAAUGACGGUACCUGGAGAAUAA